rnacentral:rRNA from 1 species
ACGCUGGCGGCGUGCUUAACACAUGCAAGUCGAACGCUGAAGCCCAGCUUGCUGGGUGGAUGAGUGGCGAACGGGUGAGUAACACGUGGGUAACCUGCCCCCUUCUUUGGGAUAACGCCCGGAAACGGGUGCUAAUACUGGAUAUUCACUUGCCUUCGCAUGGGGGUUGGUGGAAAGGUUUUUUCUGGUGGGGGAUGGGCUCGCGGCCUAUCAGCUUGUUGGUGGGGUGAUGGCCUACCAAGGCUUUGACGGGUAGCCGGCCUGAGAGGGUGACCGGUCACAUUGGGACUGAGAUACGGCCCAGACUCCUACGGGAGGCAGCAGUGGGGAAUAUUGCACAAUGGGCGAAAGCCUGAUGCAGCGACGCCGCGUGAGGGAUGGAGGCCUUCGGGUUGUAAACCUCUUUCGCUCAUGGUCAAGCCCCAGCUUUGGGUUGUGGUGAGGGUAGUGGGUAAAGAAGCGCCGGCUAACUACGUGCCAGCAGCCGCGGUAAUACGUAGGGCGCGAGCGUUGUCCGGAAUUAUUGGGCGUAAAGGGCUUGUAGGCGGUUGGUCGCGUCUGCCGUGAAAUCCUCUGGCUUAACUGGGGGCGUGCGGUGGGUACGGGCUGACUUGAGUGCGGUAGGGGAGACUGGAACUCCUGGUGUAGCGGUGGAAUGCGCAGAUAUCAGGAAGAACACCGGUGGCGAAGGCGGGUCUCUGGGCCGUUACUGACGCUGAGGAGCGAAAGCGUGGGGAGCGAACAGGAUUAGAUACCCUGGUAGUCCACGCUGUAAACGUUGGGCACUAGGUGUGGGGGCCACCCGUGGUUUCUGCGCCGUAGCUAACGCUUUAAGUGCCCCGCCUGGGGAGUACGGCCGCAAGGCUAAAACUCAAAGGAAUUGACGGGGGCCCGCACAAGCGGCGGA